UGUUUUGGAUCAAAGAAAACUUUGAUUAUUUGUCUAUCUACACCUUCCAAAUUGAUUAAUUAAUGCGUGCACGCUUUCCCUAGAAGUAAUUCACACCGGAGACAAAGUUUCUGAUCAGUGAAAAACCCAGGAAUGCUUUAUUCCCCGGAGUGGGGGCUCCUUCUUAAAGCAAAAAUACGUCACAGUUUAAACAUACAGUAUACAUUCACCAAUUGGUUAACAGAGAAAGGGGGCUCUUGUUUAAACCUCCCUACAGAAUGUAGUGUCAUCAUUACAGACUUUUGGAUACACGAUGGGAGGGGGAGUGAGUGGUAUCUAUCAGUUCUAAACCAAUGAUCCUCCAUUUAGCUAUACGUGGCAUAUAGCUGUUUAACUGGCACAAAGGUAGUGGGGGAGGAGUUAGUAAAGGGAGCUGUUAACACAGGAAUUUUGUUUACACAAGGUUUGCUUGAUUUGAAGGGGGAUGCUUAUCAGGAUGAAGAAUUUACAUAGUAAACAGCAACUGAACACAUUGUAGGGGGCGAAGGGAAUAUUUACUCUAGCAGCCAGUUUUAACAUAGUGAACACAGAAUAAAUAGACAUUAGUAAAUAGCCAUUUUAUUUUAAUUCAUCUGUCCAUAACAGUCCCCCCUUAAAAUGGCAAUUUUUACUAAAACUACUAUCUCUCAUUCUAAUACUGUCCCUAUAGAAAAAUAACAAAAGGCUAUCUUGCACAUCUGUCUGAACAGG